rnacentral:rRNA from 1 species
UCUGCCGAUGUCUGGGGGAUAGCCGGUCCAACGGCCGGGUAAUACCGCAUACGCUUGCUUUGAGGAGUCUCGAGGCAAGGAAACCUCCGGGGGACAUCG